CCACAGGCCAGAUCGCGCUCACUAUCCAACCGUCGACGCCGCUCCCCUCAUCCUUCGCCGCGCCCCCACCACGCCUUCGCCAACCGCCACUCCUGCUCGCCUGAAUCCACGCCGCCGCCGUCGCGGAUCGACAUCGCCGCUCCUCCUAUCGCGCUCCUCCCCCGCCGGCACCGCCUCCAUCCAUCCGCCGCGUCUCGCCGCCAGUCGCACCACCGAUCCAUUCCUCCUCUGCCGCCUGCUCUCCCGGUCCCUCCCGCCCCAUCGCCCCAACACUUCCCCCGUCAGCACCGCCUCCAUCCAUCCGCCGCGUCUCGCUGCCGGCCGCACCCCCGCCUCCAUCCAUCCACCGCAGAUCGCCAUCGCACGCCUCCGCCUCUCAAGGUCGCACGCUCAUCGCCGCCCGACACCCCGCCGAUUGGGGACCGAACGCUGACCCUGCAUCGACGCCACAACAGUCGACAGAGGGGAGAUGUUGAAGACCUCACUCCAACGACGGCUGCGCGCGGCGACACUACCAGGCACUGAGGGAGAGAAUGCGGUGCGAGGUGCGGCGGGGUUGUUCGUCCUUGCCCAGAUCAAUGCCGCCGCCGAUCCCUCACUCGCCCCUCGCCCAAGUCGGCGCCAAGGGCGAGGUUCGCCAAUCUGCUUCCCAGCCGCCUCGCCCGCUCCAUGGGAGAGGUGACACCUGUGCCCGCCUCCAGCGCUCCAUGCCCCCGGAUACCAUCGGAGCACGAUCCCUCCUUAGCUUCUGCCGGAGAAGGGACGCAUGCGCCGACCUUCAGCACUCUACGCGCCCUGUGGAUAAUUGGUUCGUUCUCUUUACGUUGCAAUCCAUUCAUUUAUCAAGAAUCAUCAUUGUGAGUGCCGAGGGUUAUUACAGAUUGCAGGAUCACUAAUGCUCUUUUUUGCCCAUAAGAUGUUCAACGAAAUGCUGCUUAGCCAAUGUAUUACCAGAAAUUGAUUUCUCUGUAAGUGAGAAUGUCAUAUUGUCAUGUCCCCUAUGUUGUUAUUUAUACUAAUGAUUGCAGGAUUCUCUCUGUUGUUAUUUAUGCUAUGAAGUGCUGGGAAGUUGAGAGUGUUGCUACCAAGCAAAAAGAUUCAAUUGAUCUGUUGGAGCAAACUAAUUUGGAUCUCGCAGUCUCAAAACUAAUCUGGUUCUUGAUUGUUUCAGAGUGGAUGAAAAUAAAAAAUGGAAUGAUGCAGUGAAGAUUAUGUAAGCAAUGUUCGUGAUAUAUCGAUCCUGAAAUUCUCAUAGAUGGCCAUUGCACAAAUACAAAAAUUUGCAGCUCAAGAUGAACAACCACACCAACCCCAAGAUCACCAACUAAGCCUAUCCUGCUUCAUGAUUGUUGCUGCAAACUCCAACAUGCUUGCUGCUGGUGCAAUCUGAGCCGGCUGGUGGCAGAUGGGAGCCUGCCCUAUGUUGUUAGCAGCUUUCUUCACUCCAAGUCAUUCUUGCUGCCUGUGGUCUUGGUAGUUUCUUUUUUGUGUUGUCAAUUUAAUUAUUAUGAUUUCCCAUGUGCUCGGCUAUUGGUGUUCUUGUUUUUAUCUGUUUUGUUUCAGGGUGUCAUUACUAUGGAGUAGAUCAUUUUUUUCUUAUUUUUUUCAAUGCCUUGUAAAAUAACCAACUAGCAGGGAUGUUCAUAAAUUUCUCCCUUUUGUUUGGUUUUUUUCAGACAUAUAUAUAUAAUGAAGGCAUAUAUACACAAAAGGAGGAGCUGUUUGAGGGUCUAAAGGACAAUAGCUCAAUUGACUGGGAAGCUGUUGUCAUAUGCUGAGAGCAAUCUGCUAAAUGUUAAAGAGGUGCAUCUAACUUUUGUACCCAGUGAACUGCAAAUCUGCACCUUCAUUUUUGAUUAAUAGUUUCUUUGGAUUCAGAUCAAAAUAGCUCAACAUGGGAAUUUUUCUAGCAGAGGAUGGGCAAUUCUUGGAAAAUACUAUAUAUUUCUUGUCGUUGAAUGUGAUCAUGUCCCAUUAUUUUGGCACUUGCUGCCUUGAUUCUGUUGCCUGUGCCAGCCCUUCAGCUAGCUCUCUAUCACACAUGAAUGCGUGAUCCUUGAUGGUUGUAUGCAGUUGGGAUAUUUUGGUGAGUUCAUCCCCCUUCCCCACCCCACCUCUCUCUCUCUCUCUCAAAACCAUCAUUUAUCUUCACUAUUGACUUACAAUUUCACUUCUAGCUGAUGAUGAUCAAUCAAAGCUAGCUCAUAUGUAUUAGUGAGUUUAUGAAAAAAAGGAUCAGAUAUUCAAUAACAGAGUCAGCUCCUUCCGAACGAUGGCAAAAUGGUACCUUUAUAAUUUUACUUCUCAACACGCACACAUUUUUUUUAUGACGAGUUUGAACUUUUGUUCUCCUUGUCAGAUUUUAUCUGAAGCAAGUAUCAUAUACUUCUGUAUUAGAAUAUGGACGCAAUCAUAUAUCUCCUAAGGUUUAGUGCAUACUCUCAUAUUUGGAAGUGAAUACCAAACGUGUAUGAAAUAGUGCAUUCGAUUUAAUCUAUUCUCUCUUGGGCAUUUAUUCGCAAAUGCAAAGAUUUCUGUAAUUUGAUCGUAGCUUAGAUUAUGGCAACCUUGGCUUUGUGGUUUGCCAUGUCAUGUACUGAUAUAUGAAUGUGAUGCUUUAAUUAACGUUGAAAAGCCAUGAAUUAUGUA